GACAAGCUAGGUUUCGAAGGAAACAAUUAAUUAAUUUAAGAAGAGUCUCCACCUUCCCAAACAAUACUACAAAUAAUGUGUUACAGGGAUGCAAUAUUAGUUAAUGCACUUUGGAAUAAGGAAAAUUUUGUCAAGAA